UACGGAGGAUGCAAGCGUUAUCCGGAAUUAUUGGGCGUAAAGCGUCCGCAGGUGGCUAAUCAAGUCUGCGGUCAAAGACUGGGGCUUAACCCUGGAAAGGCCGUGGAAACUGAAUAGCUAGAGUGCAGUAGGGGUAGAGGGAAUUCCCGGUGUAGCGGUGAAAUGCGUAGAGCUCGGGAAGAACAUCGGUGGCGAAAGCGCUCUGCUGGACUGCAACUGACACUCAGGGACGAAAGCUAGGGGAGCGAAUGGG
rnacentral:rRNA from 1 species